AGUGAACGCUGGCGGUAGGCCUAACACAUGCAAGUCGAACGGCAGCACAGUAAGAGCUUGCUCUUACGGGUGGCGAGUGGCGGACGGGUGAGGAAUACAUCGGAAUCUACUUUUUCGUGGGGGAUAACGUAGGGAAACUUACGCUAAUACCGCAUACGACCUACGGGUGAAAGCAGGGGAUCUUCGGACCUUGCGCGAUUGAAUGAGCCGAUGUCGGAUUAGCUAGUUGGCGGGGUAAAGGCCCACCAAGGCGACGAUCCGUAGCUGGUCUGAGAGGAUGAUCAGCCACACUGGAACUGAGACACGGUCCAGACUCCUACGGGAGGCAGCAGUGGGGAAUAUUGGACAAUGGGCGCAAGCCUGACCCAGCCAUACCGCGUGGGUGAAGAAGGCCUUCGGGUUGUAAAGCCCUUUUGUUGGGAAAGAAAAGCAGCAGGUUAAUACCACGCUGUUCUGACGGUACCCAAAGAAUAAGCACCGGCUAACUUCGUG
rnacentral:rRNA from 1 species